ensembl:lncRNA
CGACUGGAAAAAUUUGCAAGCCCUGUGUUACAGGCAUGGCCCUUUAAGGAUGAAGCCUGAUGGGAAAUGUAUUCGGGAUGUGUGUAGCGGGACUGCCUGGUGUGUGUGUGAAGAGAGAGAGCGGAGAUGGGGAAAAAGUAACGGUUAGCUACAGAAGAGACGACAAGAAAAUAAAUAAAAGGAAUAUAAUAACUCCCUCGACAGCCAGAGUUGUGUCGGCGAUGCUCGCUAUCACCUCACAUUUGACUCCAGAACAGUCUGGCUCACAGAGGAAUUGAUGGCUGACUCAGUGCCUGCAAGAUGCUCAGGUUCCUGUGGCUGCAAAACAAGCUCAAAUCAUCACCCCUCCACUAAAUACGCUUGACAGCUGGUCUUAUUACUCAAAUCCAGCGUCACUGCAAGUCUUUGCUUCCACAGUGAACUGUGGGGCCACAUGUGGGGAGCAACCCAGCGAGGAAUUAGAGGAUUACAGGAGAGACUGAGGACGCUGCUCUGCUCUGAGGAGCUUCACUGUAACAGUCCAUGCUCUACUCCUCUCUUCAUUCCAUCUGCCUGCCUCCCUGCCAUGGCUACUGGGAUUCAUGCAAUCACGACAUCUGACAGGAAACUCACCCGGACCUCUCUGACUGCUUUCCCCACCACGUUGUUCUCCACCUGCGAACGAUGACUCUGAGCACCUUCUCCAAACCACGACCCAUUUCACCUUUAGCCCCCGUUCGUGGACUCUUUAAUCUGUAUAGUUUCAUCGCUCUACGUCUGGCUCACAGUUCAUGUUUGAAUUAUAGUGCCUCCGUCCGUGUCCGCGUUUGGGUUCAUUCUCCUGGCCCUGACAAGCAGAUGCUGAAGCACAUAGUGUGCAGAGGUUACCAACUUUCUACAGAGUUAAUCGCUGCAGCCCUCCAAACUUCAUGUGGUCUUCAGCUCAAGAACAGUGCAUAGAGAGCUUCAUUAAAUGGGUUUCCAAGGGGUAGUAGCUGUUGUAGGUUUUAGCAAUAUUGGCUUAUCUCAACUGGCACCCUGUUACAGCCAUAAUCUAAUAAUCAGGCCCCAUCUUAUCUUAAAAACCUUCUAAUAACAUAUCACCCCAAUAGAGUACUUUAUUCUAUUCAGACUUACAAAGUCAAGAAUUGUAAGAUGAGGUUGACUGACAUAUUGUUUGUAUAUCAAACAAUGCCUAGCUUUAAAGCAGCUGGCUUGACUUGGGUGUGGAUACAAAAAUAAAAGUAACAGUAAGUUAAAAAAAAAUAAAUAAAAAAAAUAAAAAAAUAAAAAAUUAGAUCAAGGUUCACAAACACAGCACAAAACAGCUGAACAAAAGACCACGGAAGUUGAAUAAAACAUAAGACAACGCAAUAGCGGUGGAAAAAAAAAUUGUCACAAAACACAAAUGAAAUAUGCUUAAAAGAAGCAGAGGUUUCAUUAGUGUUGUGAGGGAGAAAAAUAUGCAGUAAUGUGUGUUCUUAUUGCAUGAUUCAUAUAAUACUGUAGAUACAGCUAAUAGCUGCGGUUACUUCCGCAGCUGUUCCUACAUUACUGUCUGCCCAAAAACACUUUCAUUUUAUUUUGUUCAACCUUUGUGUUGUGUUGUAUUAUGAUUUGUGUACUUUUGCAGCAUUUUUCUAUCUGCUGGAAGCUUAAGUUGCAGUGCAGUUGACUGCAAAGAGCCACCACAGUAUGUCCUGGUUAAAUAAAUAAACGUGAAGGAAAAAAAAAAAAAAAAAUCAUGACAGCCAGAUAAUUGAGCGUGCGCACAUAUAUAUAUUUUAUCCUUACUGUAAACAUGCAAAUGUUUAGUAACAAGAUUUGCUGGUCUUUGAGGGAUCUGUGGAAUAAGUUUUUCAAAAAAACAAAUACAAAAAAAAAAACAGACGCAACAUUACAAUAAGCUACCAGAAAAAACAGUAAUACUGAAAUCUGUGGAGAACACGCGCGCGCACUUGCACAAACACCGAUUACACAAGGACGACAAGGACAAGCAAUAAAAACCAGCUCCUAAAAGCCUAGGAAAAGCCCAUACACACAUACAGUACAGGGAUAUGCAUGCACCUGGCAAUAGCAACAUUUAUCCUUCCAUUUUUAUACCUGUUUAUCCAUUCAGGGUCACAGAAGUAGCAUCAUAAAGUCUGAUCGCACCCAUUAAGUCUCCAUUAAAAAUAUGCCCAAUAAAUCAUGUUGCUGAUUUUCUUUCCUUUUUGCUUUUAUUUGACUGCAUCAAAAUUGAUUUGAUUAAUAUUUUAUUAUGAUCUAAUAAAAUUAGUCGAUUUUCCUUCAGUUAACCUGAACUGUUUAUCACCAGUGCCCCCACUGAUGUCCUGAUGCCAGUUUAUAUCAGACUGACAGCAAAGAAGAGUCUUUUCACAGCACAGCUUGUCACAGGUGAGGUGAUGAGUGCCUUAGGUGACCAUUCAUCUUGGAAACUCUCUCAUUGGGGCAGGUGUCAAGUGGUUCAACAAGUGAUGGAAAGCUUCUCUUUGCAACCUCUCUUUUAAACUGCUGUACAAACAAUGUCCUCCACGGUGGUGCUUGCUGACUGUAUUAGGUCUGAAUUAGCAGCUAGAGGGAAAAUAGUUCAAGGGCUGGCAUUUUUAAAACUGUUGGCUAAACUUGAACUUUCUUUAUCCUAGUGUGCCUGGUGUUUUGUUUUUUUUUUCUUUUUUCUUCUCACAUUACAUAACCAGUUGCAUGUGAGGUAGGUGGUUUCUCAUACUAUUCUUACUUAAAAUCAAAAUUCCAGGGUCACAGACAUAUAAUUUAAAACGUUUGGUCAUUAAAAACAAUGCAAACAGUAGUGGUAAAAAUAAGCAGCAAGUGUCAAAUAUUUUUGUGUCUUUCACAAUGUAGUGCAGCCCAAGAAUUCAUUGAUGGGGUGCAAGUGAAAACACAAGGACAUUAAACUAUCUUUAGCCUGCCAGCUCCUGAGUACAGGACUUUACAAGUCUCUGUAAAGUGCAUCUGUGCCCACACAGAUAAUGGUUUGAGCAAUUCAAUGCACCUUAAUGUCACGUUUGCUGCCUCGGCAACCUCAUCCCAGACAGCUACCCUGCUUAAAAACAAAUAGUACUACCAAUAGUGACAGCUGGUUUUAAAAAAUAUUAACCACUGUUGUGUGGUACAUGUAAAAACGAGCAACAAACCAACAAUAUCUAGACCUGAUUACAGGUUUUACAAGUCAUACAGUCCAAAACAAAUUUAAAAAUUGC